CUCGUUGGUCUAGGGGUAUGAUUCUCGCUUUGGGGGCGGGAGGCCCCAGGUUCAGAUCCCGAACAAGCCCCCUUUUCCUUUUCUUUUUUUCCCUUUUCGCAUUUUCAGCAAGGACAGGAGACUAGGAAGGCGGAGGGAGGCUUCUGUUGGCAGGGCCUCAGUGGAGACCUCCCAGGGUCCCGGGAGGCAGACGGACGGGCCUGAAUCUUUCGCCUUGCAGUGGGUCCCAUCACCCCGAAAUGGGAUCCAGCACUGCCAACUGCGGUAACCGUGGUUAAAGGAGAAGACCCCGUGCAGCAGGAGGAGGUUAUUUAGAAUAAGGAAGAAUGCGCCUGGCUCGUUUAUUUAUGGGCAUAAAUUUUUCGUAGGGUUCGAGAGUAUGGCGGCUCCAGUCUCAGACAAAAUUGAGGAGUUGAGAUGGAAACAUGGAAACCCAGUCAACCUGCCACAGAAUGUGCCCUCCAAACCGCAGCAGG